GCAAACUUGGUCAUUUAGAGGAAGUAAAAGUCGUAACAAGGUUUCCGUAGGUGAACCUGCGGAAGGAUCAUUAUUGAUUUUAAAAGGAUGUGCUGGCCCCUUAACCCAGGAGCAACGUGCACUCCCAACAAAACCAAUAUCCACCUGUGCACUCCUCAGUAGGCAAAAGGACCGUCAAAAAGUCCUCUUUGUCUAUGUUUUCAUUUACAAACACUUGAACUAUUUGAAUGCCUUCUUAUGCAAUGUCAUAAUUGUUAAUACAACUUUCAACAAUGGAUCUCUUGGUUCUCGCAUCGAUGAAGAACGCAGC
rnacentral:misc_RNA from 1 species